AUCCCGAAACGUUUUUCUUCUUCUUUUUUUCUCUCACCCAGCCAGCCUCGACUCUGCCCUCCCUCUCACCUCUCGCUCGCCAGCCGACGCCGCCGCCGCCUAUCUCCACCCGCGAGCCGCGGCCCAUGCGACCAGGCAUUCCGAUCGCGACCCGUCGCGCCUCUCCCUGCGUGCCCGCCGCCCUCGCAGCCCCCCGUCACGGAUCCGCCCCGCCGCCCUCGCAGCAAAGGCCCGCGCGUCGCGGCCGCCGCCGCCGCCCCAUCCCGCCGUCGCACUCCACGGCGCCUCGGCCGCGGUCGCCCCUCUGCAACCUCCGUCCCCCGCCGUCGCGCUGGCCCGUGCAGUCACGCCGCUGAGAAUCACGCCGACGACGCCUUCGAGGAGUAUGGAUGGUUAAGCAAGGGAUGAGGUUGGUGUUUGUUUCCGGUACUGACAUAAAUGGUUAGGAGAUUUAGACUUCCAAUAUCUGGAAAUAUCGUUGUACUAGGAUGUGCGAUUGGUAAUGAUGGUUUGGGAAUUCGAAAUGCUUGCCGUUGUUUCCCAACCCGAGUCAAGCAGGGCAGACUACUUACUUUUACGUAAAUGUGGUCCUACUACUGGAGCACAAUCGUAAUUUGAGCGGAGCGGCAUUCAGGGUUUGGGUUCAGGGUAUGCAACUUCUUCUUGGAAAUUCAACUGUAAACCUUAAUCACAUAUCCAUCUUGGUUCAGAUUUGAUGAUUUUGAAUAUUGUUUAUGUUCGAAUGAGAUUGAUUCGACUUCA